rnacentral:rRNA from 1 species
ACCCGCUGAAUUUAAGCAUAUAAGUAAGCGGAGUGAUAAGAAACUAAAGAGGAUUCCGUGAGUAAUGGCGAAUGAACUCGGAGCAGCUCAAAGUGGAAAUCAAGGCCCGAGGCCUUGAAUUGUAAUUUGUAACUGCGUUGCCAACGCGGGCGCAAAUAUAAGUCGCUUGGAAGAGCGCACCACAGAGGGUGAGAGUCCCGUUUAUAAUUUGCAGCCUUGUGUGUACGGCACGCUGUGCAGAGUCACGUUCCUUGGGAAUGGAGCGCAAAGUGGGUGGUAAAUUUCAUCUCAAGCUAAAUAUGAAUUUGAGACCGAUAGCAAACAAGUACCAUGAGGGAAAGGUGAAAAGUACUUUGAAAAGAGAGUUAAAAGUGCCUGAAAUUGCUGGAAGGGAAGCGAAAGGAACCAGCCCGCAUGGUAAGAUUGUCGUGUGAGCUUCUAAAGCCGCACAAUGCAUCUGGCCAUGGCAAUCGUCGGUGGUUGUCAGCCGGGGAUACAAGCAGCUCUUCUUAGCUUCUUUCGAGAUUGCGGAAGCGUUGCUUAAACCCGCUUGGCGAUUAUUUCCCUAUCUGGAGUUGGUGUAAGUUUCGCGCUUGCAUUCAAACCGGAUGCUCGACGAUCAAAUGGUUCUUCUCGACCCGUCUUGAAACACGGACCAAGGAGUCUAGCAACUGUGCGAGUUCAUGGGAUAUAAACCUAUGUUCGUAACGAAAGUGACUGCUGAGAUAUUUCCACCAGCAACCGACCAAUCAAUUGAGUGCGGUUUGAGUGUAAGCAUAUUUGUUAGGACCCGAAAGAUGGUGAACUAUGCCUGUGAAGGGUGAAGCCAGGGGAAACUCUGGUGGAGGCUCGUAGCGAUACUGACGUGCAAAUCGUUCGUCAAACAUGGGUAUAGGGGCGAAAGACUAAUCGAACCAUCUAGUAGCUGGUUCCCUCCGAAGUUUCCCUCAGGAUAGCUGGAGCUGACCAGAUUUAUCCGCUAAGGAGUGUGUAACAACUCACCUGCCGAAUGGACUAGCCCCGAAAAUGGAUGGCGCUUAAGCGGGUGACCGAUACCCAACCAUUGUUGCAUUUGUGUUGCAUCAAUGAGUAGGAGGGCAUUGGGGUUUGUGAUGCAGCUUCUGGGGUGACCCUGGGUGAAACAACCUCUAGUGCAGAUCUUGGUGGUAGUAGC